AAGAAACAAGCUGAUUAUGUUCACGUUAAUUAAGUGGUUGGAAGAUGUAAAAUUCUCAAUUCUGCCAACUGGACAUAUACGAGAUUUUAAUGAGGAUGAAUAAUUAGCUGGCAUGGAGGAAACGGACCUUUAUUUGGUGGAGUGGCGACAAGGAGCCAAAAGGCGGGUGGCCGGUCUAUGAAGCCUCCAUCAUCAAGCUAGCAGAAAUCCCACCUCUCCUUCUGGCUACAGAGUACUUACUUACCAAGCCCAUGAAAUCGAAUGCAGAUCUUCCUGAUGUGAGAUUUACAUAAAUGUAAGUAAUUUUGUUUGUCGUUAUCAUUAAUGUUGUUGCUGUUGUU